UACAGAGGUCCCGAGCGUUGUUCGGAUUCAUUGGGCGUAAAGGGUGCGUAGGUGGCAGGGUAAGUCGGAUGUGAAAUCCCGGGGCUCAACCUCGGAACUGCAUUCGAUACUGCUUUGCUUGAGUACUGGAGAGGAGAUUGGAAUUUACGGUGUAGCAGUGAAAUGCGUAGAUAUCGUAAGGAAGACCAGUGGCGAAGGCGGAUCUCUGGACAGUUACUGACACUGAGGCACGAAGGCCAGGGGAGCAAACGGG
rnacentral:rRNA from 1 species